GACGAACGCUGGCGGCGGGCUUAACACAUGCAAGUCGAACGGAAAGGCCCUGCUUUUGUGGGGUGCUCGAGUGGCGAACGGGUGAGUAACACGUGAGUAACCGGCCCUUGACUUUGGGAUAACUUCAGGAAACUGGGGCUAAUACCGGAUAGGAGAUCCUGCUGCAUGGUGGGGGUUGGAAAGUUUCGGCGGGUGGGGAUGGACUCGCGGCUGAUCGGCUUGUUGGUGGGGUAGGGGCUUACCAAGGCUUUGACGGGUAGCCGGCCUGAGAGGGUGACCGGCCACCAUGGGACUACGAUACGGACCAGACUCCUACGGGAGGCAGCAGUGGGAAGUAUUGCACAAUGGGCGGAAGCCUGAUGCAGAAACGCCGCGUGCGGGAUGACGGCCUUCGGGUUGUAAACCGCUUUCGCCUGUGACGAAGCGUUAGUGACGGUAAUGAGUAAAGAAGCACCGGCUAACUACGUG
rnacentral:rRNA from 1 species